CCUACGGGUGGCAGCAGUGAGGAAUAUUCGUCAAUGGACGCAAGUCUGAACCAGCCAUGCCGCGUGCAGGAAGACGGCUCUAUGAGUUGUAAACUGCUUUUGUACGAGGGUAAACGCAGAUACGCGUAUCUGUCUGAAAGUAUCGUACGCAUCAGGAACGGCUAACUCCGGGCCAACAGACGAGGGAAUACGGAGGGUUCAAGCGUUAUCCGGAUUUAUUGGGUUUAAAGGGUGCGUAGGCGGUCGGAUAAGUUAGAGGUGAAAUCCCGAGGCUCAACUUCGGAAUUGCCUCGGAUACUGGUCGGCUAGAGAGUAGUUGCGGUAGGCGGAAUGUAUGGUGUAGCGGUGAAAUGCGUAGAGAUCAUACAGAACACCAGUUGCGAAGGCAGCUUACCAAGCUACUUCUGACGUUGAGGCACGAAAGCGUGGGGAGCAAACAGGAUUAGAUACCCGUGUAGUC
rnacentral:rRNA from 1 species